rnacentral:antisense_RNA from 1 species
GCGUAAUCAUGAAAGCUUUCUUAUCCAGACAGUUCUAUCAGCGCUAUUUCAGCGCGGUGCGCCGCCAGCGCGCCGACUGGUUGAGCGUGGUGCCCGAACAGGCGCGGCUGGCGAUGCUGGCGCACCUGACGCAAUGGGAUAUCAAAGAGAUGACGGACAAACAGUAUCGCGAGCACCUGUAAGGCGCUGCGGUAUAAAAGUUUCUGAGUAAUGGUGCUGUUUCACCAGCCAGUGGGGCGACCCACUGGUUUUUUUA